UUAAGAAAUAUUGCUUUAUUUGAGUAACUUACCUCCAAAUUACUUUUAUGUGUCUAAAAAAGUCCUAAUGAGCAUCCAGAAAGAAAACAUAUACAGCUUCCACAAGAAUAAGAACAAAAAAAUAAUGGGGUUAAUGACCGUCCCAAGUGAUAUUUCCUAAAAGAAAAAAAUGUAAUUAUUUAACCUUUCUUCUUCUGAGGCAAGAUAAGUGAACUGCACACAUCAUGAAUAAAAUUUUCUUACUUUACGAGGAGGAAAGAUUGUGAUCCUGCUUUGGUGAGUGAAG